AUGAUCAGCUUUAUCCCAUCUGUAUUUGUGACCUCCUUACUGAUACUUUGUUUAUCAUGUUCUGUCCACGGAUAUAAUAUAAACUCAACAGAUCAGCAUCUUUUUGGAGAAAUUGGAGAAACAAUAACAUUAUCCUGCACCUACUCCAUUAGUAGUAAUUCUCCAUACAUAUUCUGGUAUCGUCAGUAUCCUCAUCAGAUACAGUAUAUUCUUCACCAGGGUGCAAAAAGUUACUCUAACAUCAAGAAAACUAACACAGAAUUGGAGCCUGGAAAGUUCCAAUCAGAGAACAGUGACACUCUAACAAAUUUAACCAUCCAUCGCCUGUCAGUGUCAGAUUCAGCCGUGUACCUGUGUGCUCUGAGUGAUGGUGCACAGUGUUACAUAUCUGCUCAGGAGCAAUGCUAA